GGAAUUUUCCGCAAUGGGCGAAAGCCUGACGGAGCAACGCCGCGUGAGGGAUGAAGGCCUCUGGGCUGUAAACCUCUUUUAUCAAGGAAGAAGAUCUGACGGUACUUGAUGAAUAAGCCACGGCUAAUUCCGUGCCAGCAGCCGCGGUAAUACGGGAGUGGCAAGCGUUAUCCGGAAUUAUUGGGCGUAAAGCGUCCGCAGGCGGUCUUUUAAGUCUGUCGUCAGAGCGUGGAGCUUAACUCCAUUUCUGCGAUGGAAACUGGGAGACUAGAGUGUGGUAGGGGCAGAGGGAAUUCCUGGUGUAGCGGUGAAAUGCGUAGAUAUCGGGAAGAACACCAGUGGCGAAGGCGCUCUGCUGGGCCAUAACUGACGCUCAUGGACGAAAGCCAGGGGAGCGAAAGGGAUUAGAUACCCCUGUAGUCCUGGCCGUAAACGAUGAACACUAGGUGUCGGGGGAAUCGACCCCCUCGGUGUCGUAGCCAACGCGUUAAGUGUUCCGCCUGGGGAGUACGCACGCAAGUGUGAAACUCAAAGGAAUUGACGGA
rnacentral:rRNA from 1 species